AGAGUUUGAUCAUGGCUCAGAUUGAACGCUGGCGGCAGGCCUAACACAUGCAAGUCGAACGGUAGCACAGAGAGCUUGCUCUCGGGUGACGAGUGGCGGACGGGUGAGUAAUGUCUGGGAAACUGCCUGAUGGAGGGGGAUAACUACUGGAAACGGUAGCUAAUACCGCAUAACGUCGCAAGACCAAAGAGGGGGACCUUCGGGCCUCUUGCCAUCAGAUGUGCCCAGAUGGGAUUAGCUAGUAGGUGGGGUAAUGGCUCACCUAGGCGACGAUCCCUAGCUGGUCUGAGAGGAUGACCAGCCACACUGGAACUGAGACACGGUCCAGACUCCUACGGGAGGCAGCAGUGGGGAAUAUUGCACAAUGGGCGCAAGCCUGAUGCAGCCAUGCCGCGUGUAUGAAGAAGGCCUUCGGGUUGUAAAGUACUUUCAGCGGGGAGGAAGGUGUUGUGGUUAAUAACCACAGCAAUUGACGUUACCCGCAGAAGAAGCACCGGCUAACUCCGUGCCAGCAGCCGCGGUAAUACGGAGGGUGCAAGCGUUAAUCGGAAUUACUGGGCGUAAAGCGCACGCAGGCGGUCUGUCAAGUCGGAUGUGAAAUCCCCGGGCUCAACCUGGGAACUGCAUUCGAAACUGGCAGGCUAGAGUCUUGUAGAGGGGGGUAGAAUUCCAGGUGUAGCGGUGAAAUGCGUAGAGAUCUGGAGGAAUACCGGUGGCGAAGGCGGCCCCCUGGACAAAGACUGACGCUCAGGUGCGAAAGCGUGGGGAGCAAACAGGAUUAGAUACCCUGGUAGUCCACGCCGUAAACGAUGUCGACUUGGAGGUUGUGCCCUUGAGGCGUGGCUUCCGGAGCUAACGCGUUAAGUCGACCGCCUGGGGAGUACGGCCGCAAGGUUAAAACUCAAAUGAAUUGACGGGGGCCCGCACAAGCGGUGGAGCAUGUGGUUUAAUUCGAUGCAACGCGAAGAACCUUACCUACUCUUGACAUCCAGAGAACUUUCCAGAGAUGGAUUGGUGCCUUCGGGAACUCUGAGACAGGUGCUGCAUGGCUGUCGUCAGCUCGUGUUGUGAAAUGUUGGGUUAAGUCCCGCAACGAGCGCAACCCUUAUCCUUUGUUGCCAGCGGUCCGGCCGGGAACUCAAAGGAGACUGCCAGUGAUAAACUGGAGGAAGGUGGGGAUGACGUCAAGUCAUCAUGGCCCUUACGAGUAGGGCUACACACGUGCUACAAUGGCGCAUACAAAGAGAAGCGAACUCGCGAGAGCAAGCGGACCUCAUAAAGUGCGUCGUAGUCCGGAUUGGAGUCUGCAACUCGACUCCAUGAAGUCGGAAUCGCUAGUAAUCGUAGAUCAGAAUGCUACGGUGAAUACGUUCCCGGGCCUUGUACACACCGCCCGUCACACCAUGGGAGUGGGUUGCAAAAGAAGUAGGUAGCUUAACCUUCGGGAGGGCGCUUACCACUUUGUGAUUCAUGACUGGGGUGAAGUCGUAACAAGGUAACCGUAGGGGAACCUGCGGUUGGAUCACCU
rnacentral:rRNA from 1 species